CUUGCAAGUAUGUCCGCGACGUCCAAGUUCCUCAGCAGCACGUCCCCUUGCUUGCCGCCUGAAGCCAGGUGACAGCAGACGAAGCAGAAGCUCGUGUCGUGCAGCACGAACCGGAUCGAAACAGAGCCCUGCAUGCGCAAAGCAACCCACACACGCCAUCCAGGCAGCCCAUGAUGCCCGAGCCGAUGCACGACGCAUCCAGGUGACGGAUGAGCGGCCUAAGGCUGCUUCUCGCCCACACCGACGUGAAGAUGCCGACCAUCUGCUUGCUCCUGAUGCAUCUGAAGCCCUGUGAUCCCUCCACAGAGCCUUCGUCGUCCUUGGCGCUGCUGUUCGUGUUCGCCCCGCCUUCUUCUCGACACCUUCUGUUGAGCGCCUCCCCGAUCAGCGAGUUCCACUUGGCAGACACGCGGCUCUUCCUAGGACCCAGCACAUUUCUCGCGUUCAGUGGCACUAUCUCCUGGAACCUAAUUAGUAAAGCGUCAUCAGAUGAGACUGAGAGUGGUGAAUCUUAAUCAGCAGGGUAUGCAUGAGCUAGUCGUUCGUUCACAGGUUAUUACCCUAGGACGUAGAUGUCGUAGGCGUUAGCCCUUGUGUCCAGCCAAUCCUCCAAGUCCAAGCCAUCGGAUGGUGUAACGCCGCCGACAUUCCAGGUGCUGGCAAACACACUUCAGAUGCCCAGGUGAAAAAAGAAAGAUCAGGCCAUCAGGGGAUGCAUGCAUGAGAAGGCUAUGACGAAUGGAAGGAAAAAGUAGGACGAAAAAUGCAAGGCGCGCGGCAGUGCAGGUUACCUGUACACAAGUGUAUCCUUGUUCCCAUUCAAGGGUCUCUUCCCCAAGGUUUCAGAAACCCCAGAUACAGAUCCGUGGCCAUGCAGUUGCUGGCAGCGGUGCAGCAGCUUGUUUGUCACCAGCCUUGACCCGCGGGUGAUCUACAACAAGAACGGCAUACAAUUGUUGUAUGCUUCAGCUUUGCUAACAGAGACGAGAGAAACGAAUAGAUAUACAGGUGCGUGUCUGCUCAUCACUGGCCGGUCUCUCACCUUCCUGUUCUCUCCCAUGGCUUCCUUGUUUAAUAGUAGCAUGCAGGAGCGAGCAUUCAUGCAUGCACGACCAUGUAGUAACCGAACAUGGCAAGGCGCUGCAUGCGUUAUAUAUAACUAAAGGAAACAGCAAGGAAACAAAGGGAGAAAACCAGCAACUGUGAUGUCGACAUAUCAAGCAGAGCUCUUCAGAACAUCCACACAGUAUACUGCGUGUCAAGGUUUUUAUGGACCAGCCUGGUCACCUGCUGGCUCUCAUCGUAAUAACAAAGACAGGCAGACAACAGCUAAAUUUUUUAUUUUUUUUCCAGCAUUGCCUGCGCCGGCCCACUGCAUGCAGUGCAAAUACAUGAAGAUUAACAUGCUAUCUUUUUUUCUUUCUAACAAAUGGCACACAAGAAGCAAUAUGGGUAUGCAAUCCAGAGUGAUCUGAUUGGCAAGCUGCACUGUCAUAUGCCUGAUGGGUUUGGCUGGGUAGUAAGACCACCACCGUGCUGUGUGCCUGUGUUGAGUAAAGGCCGGGCGGGAAGAGACAAAGGCACACUUGCGCAACUUGUCUACCUAACAUAUGUUGUUAUUGUUAUCUGUUUCUUAUGCACUUGCGCUACCCUUGGGUUGUUUUUUUUUUUUGGCAAUCCAAUCACGCAACUUGCGUCUUUAUUUUUGCAAGGGUUUUGGACUCUUGUCCCUAUAUUUUUCUUCUGUGUGUGUUGUUUGAAAAAAAAAACACAGAUAUAUAGAUAUCUCAAGGCUGUACACUACCGGCUUCUUUGCUGCGUACGUGAUAGAUCGAUCUUGCAGGUAGCGUAGGCCGGCUUUAUAGGCCUGAAAAAACAAUUCUGCUAGGGCGUUAAUGCGCUUAAUUAUGCGCAGUUUCUUAACGCAAGUGUGCUAGUAUGCUUACCCUCUCCCUGACUCCGCAAAAGGAGCAUUCUUAAUUUCUUAUUAUCAGGCUGGCUGUGUGCUUCUAUCUUCAGCAGAUAUUUCAAAAGGAGCAUUCUUGUAAAACAUGGUGAGUUCCUGGGCCAACUAAACUAGAUAUUUCAAAUUUCUUAUCAGGCUGGCUGUGUGCUUCUAUCUUCAGCAGAUAUUUCAAAAGGAGCAUUCUUGUAAAACAUGGUGAGUUCCUGGGCCAACUAAACUAGAUAUUUCAAAUUUCUUAUCAGGCUGGCUGUGUGCUUCUAUCUUCAGCAGAUAUUUCAAAAGGAGCAUUCUUGUAAAACAUGGUGAGUUCCUGGGCCAACUAAACUAGAUAUUUCAAAUUUCUUAUCAGGCUGGCUGUGUGCUUCUAUCUUCAGCAGAUAUUUCAAAAGGAGCAUUCUUGUAAAACAUGGUGAGUUCCUGGGCCAACUAAACUAGAUAUUUCAAAGUUCGGUCCAGCAGGGAAAAAAUAUGGAGGAUUGAAAAGAUGAAGAAGAAAAGAGACCGGCAAGCACCUACCUCUAUAGCAUCAGACGGAGAGCCAGGGAAGCAGGAAGGAAGGAUGGUCCCACCCACGUAGGGAUGAAAGUGGUAAUCUGAACUGUUAGAACAAAUUUAAUAUUUUAAAAUAGAUAUGUAUAAAAUUUGAUGUUCAUCUUUUUUUAUGUUAUCAAGCACAUUAGUACAAAUAUGAAUAAAA